AUUGAACGCUGGCGGUAUGCUUAACACAUGCAAGUCGAACGGUAGCAGGCCUUCGGACGCUGACGAGUGGCGGACGGGUGAGUAACGCGUAGGAAUCUGCCUCAUAGUGGGGGACAACGUGGGGAAACUCACGCUAAUACCGCAUACGCCCUACGGGGGAAAGCGGGGGAUCUUCGGACCUCGCGCUAUGAGAUGAGCCUGCGUUAGAUUAGCUAGUUGGUGGGGUAAAGGCCUACCAAGGCGACGAUCUAUAGCUGGUCUGAGAGGACGAUCAGCCACACUGGGACUGAGACACGGCCCAGACUCCUACGGGAGGCAGCAGUGGGGAAUAUUGGACAAUGGGCGCAAGCCUGAUCCAGCAAUACCGCGUGUGUGAAGAAGGCCUUAGGGUUGUAAAGCACUUUCAAUUGGGAGGAAAACCUGCCGGUUAAUACCCGGUAGCUUGACAUUACCAAUAGAAGAAGCACCGGCUAACUCCGUGCCAGCCGCCGCGGUAAAAC
rnacentral:rRNA from 1 species